rnacentral:rRNA from 1 species
AGUGAACGCUGGCGGUAGGCCUAACACAUGCAAGUCGAACAGCAGCACAGUAAGAGCUUGCUCUUACGGGUGGCGAGUGGCGGACGGGUGAGGAAUACAUCGGAAUCUACUUUUUCGUGGGGGAUAACGUAGGGAAACUUACGCUAAUACCGCAUACGACCUACGGGUGAAAGCAGGGGAUCUUCGGACCUUGCGCGAUUGAAUGAGCUGAUGUCGGAUUAGCUAGUUGGCGGGGUAAAGGCCUACCAAGGCGAGGAUGCGUAGCUGGUCUGAGAGGGUGAGCGGCCACAUUGGGACUGAGAUACGGCCCAGACUCCGACGGGAGGCAGCAGUGGGGAAUAUUGCACAAUGGGCGGAAGCCUGAUGCAGCAACGCCGCGUGCGGGAUGACGGCCUUCGGGGUGUAAAACGCUUUCGCCUGUGACGAAGCGUGAGUGACGGCAACGGGUAAAGAAGCACCGGCUAACUACGUG